UGGGGAAUUUUGGACAAUGGGCGAAAGCCUGAUCCAGCAAUGCCGCGUGUGUGAAGAAGGCCUUCGGGUUGUAAAGCACUUUUGUCCGGAAAGAAAUCCUUGGCUCUAAUACAGUCGGGGGAUGACGGUACCGGAAGAAUAAGCACCGGCUAACUACGUGCCAGCAGCCGCGGUAAUACGUAGGGUGCAAGCGUUAAUCGGAAUUACUGGGCGUAAAGCGUGCGCAGGCGGUUUGCUAAGACCGAUGUGAAAUCCCCGGGCUCAACCUGGGAACUGCAUUGGUGACUGGCAGGCUAGAGUAUGGCAGAGGGGGGUAGAAUUCCACGUGUAGCAGUGAAAUGCGUAGAGAUGUGGAGGAAUACCGAUGGCGAAGGCAGCCCCCUGGGCCAAAUACUGACGCUCAUGCACGAAAGCGUGGGGAGCAAAACAGGAUUAGAUCCCUGGUAGUGCCACGCCCUAAAACGAUGUCAACUAGUUGUUGGGGAUUCAUUUCCUUAGUAACGUAGCUAACGCGUGAAGUUGACCGCCUGGGGGGUACGGUCGCAAGAUU
rnacentral:rRNA from 1 species